GUUGCCGCUCAAGAUAUCUAUGGAGAUCAGUGUAAAUUCCAUGUAUUUCUUUCUUUUCCAGGUCCGCAACAAGACGCCCAAGCCGCAAGGGAAUUCAUUCUAAGGAUGUUCGUAGAUUUGAACCCAGAUACAGACAAAAUUAUUUACUCUCAUUUCACUUGUGCCACGGACACCGAGAACAUUCGCUUCGUCUUCGCCGCUGUCAAGGACACCAUUUUACAGUUAAACUUGAAAGAAUACAAUUUGGUUUGAAAAGUUAGCACGGUCUGUGAACUACCACAGUCAUAUUUCUCUCAGUUGGUUCGUUGAAGCUAGCUUUCCUGCUGUAAGAAAUUCCAUAAAACUUGAAAUCUACACUGACAUUGUAAACCGCGCAGAACACUACUCCUAUAAAAGAUUAAAUAAAGCCCGGAUGACUGACUGCAAAGGAACUUGAACCCCAUCGGGGAUUUUAUUUCCGGGAGAUUUUAUCCCUUACCCGUGGCUUUGUCCUCGGAUAUCUUGCCCAUGCAGAGUUAGGCUAUAGAGAUCAUAAAUGACUUAAGGUGGCAUGAUGAGAUUUUGUACUCGUUUGAAGACGCGAUUGUAGCAAGUUUAGUCACUUUUACGUGGGUGUUUAGACAGUGCAAGAAUGACACCACAUAUUUGUAUCAAUUUGUGCAGGGAUUUAUACGAUCUCUUUUUUUCAUCAAUGUGAAUGCAUAGGCAUAUAGCUAUUACAAAAUCGUCAUUCAGAAAACAAGCACGAAAUCUUCGUAGUUUCACAUUGUCAUCAUUGGAAUAUGCGUUCAUUGAAAUAUUUUCCAGACACCAAAAACGACAUGUGGAGACCAGGGCUACCAAUGCAACGAAUACCAUCGUUUAGUAAUAGAGUAGUUAAGUUCUUUUUAAGGGUUUUUAGACGUCGUGCAAGCUGUGUUGACAGCGUAAAAACUGUCUAUCAUAUCAAACCUUGACAAGUAGAUUCCCAAACUACAAAUUUAUCAACAGAAAUUUGAAUUAUUCGACUUUGCAAUAAAAGCAUACAAUUCGUAUAGAAUUUGUGAAAUUUCGAUUGUUUACAAAAUAGAUAGUUCCCUCGUAAUUAACGAAACCAUUUUGCUCCGGUUAAAUAUAAUUUUCACGAGGAAAACGUAUAUAAUAGUGAAAGUAUAAUGAGAGUCGCAGAUUACGUUUAGUUUAUUUUGAAUUUAUAGAGAAAUUAUAAAACCUGAUUCCAUUUGGUCGUACAACUCUGGCGACCAAGUCGACGAUGUGAAAUAGUCCGCAUCUGUCUCGUCUUAGAACUCUAUUACGUCCGUCAACUUGAUAGGCUCACGAGAGUUCUAAAUUGAAACCGAGUAGUAUAGAAUACUUCUUAGUCCAAGUAAAGUCGAAUCACUUGCUAAAAAAUUAUUUUCUCGAUCAAAUCUAUGUUCACAGGCAUAAUUUUCGACAAGUGACGUGACUUCAUUUGGGCACCGCAAAGUUACAAAGAGCGUCAUAAAAAUGACACGCGAACAUGUUACUUUUUGGUCAAAAUGAAUGCCUUCGAUUUAAAACCAUUAGUUCUUAGACUUGUUACUCUGGUUUACAUAUAUGAUCACAAUACGCCUUAGUAGUUUAAUUUAUGAUCUCUAUGGUUCAAAGUCUGUAUUAAAAUGUUAGGGAUAUUAUAUCGAGGUCGUUUUAGAGCCCUCUGUGGACUGGGCCCAACUCACCGACGCUCGUCGGUGAUUGGUCGAACCAUUGUAUCUAUAGCAACAACGCGAUCUGUGGUUUAUGCUAAAUAAUAUCUUAACUUAUAUAAGUGUAAUAGUGUAUAAUAAUAAUAAUUGUCAUUCUAGAUCUGUAGAAGUCGGCUUAUAGUUUGUUUCUUGAUUGCGCGAUAAAAGUGCACGCGAUAUAUAAAUAUAUAUAAAUAUUGACUCUUGUAGAUGUAGUUAGGUAGGUUUUAAAACUACUCCAAGCCGCCUUAAUAUGACAAUGUCAAGAUUGUGAGUGGAAGAAUAAAUAUACAAAGAGACUAAAGUUGGAAGAGGUUUGAAGACUGGCGCUGGACUAUUUUGGGGAACACGUGAAAAUUCCCAUGUCUCAUCAAAUGUUCCCCAGUUUGCCCAUGGAGGGAAAAAACUAAUUUCUUUCUGCGACCACUGUGACAGAACAAAAACAAUUCUGCCAAUAUUCCCACAUUCCCAACUAUAAGUACAUCCUGGGCGCCGGACGAGCUGGAACACCGUUGCUAUAGCGUGGAAAACCCCUUGCACCCUCGUUGAUCCAAUAUCGAUUCAGUGCAAAUGAGCAGAAAAUUGAGAUGGAUAGGAAUUUCAACUAUCUGAUCUGGCGUUUUUGGUACAACCUACACUGGCACAGAUUGGUUCGCGAGUUUAUAUCUGUGUAAAUGACCUUAUUUAUUUACUAUAAAUUGUUUAACUCGUAUCAUUAAACUUGACCACCUUUGCUCUCCAAGCAUUUCUCACUCCUUGCUGGGGCUAACUGCCGCGCUACUCAACAGCAACAUCGUUGAUAUAAGAUCGUUUGCAUAAAUGCAUUUUCCCCUUUGUCGCCAUUUUGAACAAAAUCACGUGAAGAGACUAUGGGUUCUCAUUGGCUAUUUAAUUCAAGCAGCUAAGCUCGCAACAUCCGCAGA